rnacentral:rRNA from 1 species
GGCGGACGGGAUGAGAUAAUGCUUUAGGAACCCUUUGUGUGGGGGAUGACCAUUGGAAACGAUGGCUAAUACCGCAUGACGUCUACGGACCAAAGGGGGCUUUCGGGCUCCCGCGCAAAGAGUGGCCUAAGUGAGAUUAGCUAGUUGGUGGGGUAAAGGCUCACCAAGGCGACGAUCUCUAGCUGUUCUGAGAGGAAGAUCAGCCACACUGGGACUGAGACACGGCCCAGACUCCUACGGGAGGCAGCAGUGGGGAAUAUUGCACAAUGGGGGAAACCCCGAUGCAGCCAUGCCGCGUGUGUGAAGAAGGCCUUCGGGUUGUAAAGCACUUUCAGUUGUGAGGAAAGGUUAGUAGUUAAUACCUGCUGGCUGUGACGUUAGCAACAGAAGAAGCACCGGCUAACUCCGUGCCAGCAGCCGCGGUAAUACGGAGGGUGCGAGCGUUAAUCGGAAUUACUGGGCGUAAAGCGCAC